rnacentral:misc_RNA from 1 species
UUAAGUUCAGCGGGUAUCCCUACCUGAUCCGAGGUCAACCUUAUAAUAGUUGGGGUUGUUGGCAAGUAACACCUAAGACCCUGUCGCGAGAAAAUUACUACGCGUAGAGCUUAAGAGCACCGCCACUGAUUUUACGGCCCGCCUUAGCAGGUGAGGCCUAAUACCAAGCAGAGCUUGAGGGUUGUAAUGACGCUCGAACA